UACGUAGGGUGCAAGCGUUGUCCGGAAUUAUUGGGCGUAAAGAGCUCGUAGGCGGUUUGUCGCGUCUGCUGUGAAAACGCGAGGCUCAACCUCGCGCCUGCAGUGGGUACGGGCAGACUAGAGUGCGGUAGGGGAGUGUGGAAUUCCCGGUGUAGCGGUGAAAUGCGCAGAUAUCGGGAGGAACACCAGUAGCGAAGGCGGCACUCUGGGCCGGAACUGACGCUGAGGAGCGAAAGCGUGGGGAGCGAACAGG
rnacentral:rRNA from 1 species